CGCGAGCUGGGUUCAGAACGUCGUGAGACAGUUCGGUCCCUAUCCGUCGUGGGCGUAGGAAAUUUGAGAGGAGCUGUCCUUAGUACGAGAGGACCGGGAUGGACACACCGCUGGUGUACCAGUUGUUCUGCCAAGGGCAUCGCUGGGUAGCUAUGUGUGGACGGGAUAAGUGCUGAAAGCAUCUAAGCAUGAAGCCCCCCUCAAGAUGAGAUUUCCCAUAGCGCAAGCUAGUAAGAUCCCUCGAAGAUGACGAGGUUGAUAGGUCAGAGGUGGAAGCGCGGUGACGUGUGUAGCUGACUGAUACUAAUCGAUCGAGGACUUAACCAA
rnacentral:rRNA from 2 species